CCUACGGGUGGCAGCAGUGAGGAAUAUUGGUCAAUGGGCGAGAGCCUGAACCAGCCAAGUCGCGUGAGGGAGUACUGCCCUAUGGGUUGUAAACCUCUUUUGUCGGGGAGCAAAAGCCGGACGUGUCCGGCUGUGAGAGUACCCGAAGAAAAAGCAUCGGCUAACUCCGUGCCAGCAGCCGCGGUAAUACGGAGGAUGCGAGCGUUAUCCGGAUUUAUUGGGUUUAAAGGGUGCGCAGGCGGAUUUUUAAGUCAGCGGUCAAAUCGUGGGGCUCAACCCCAUCCAGCCGUUGAAACUGGGGAUCUAGAGUGUGCGAGAGGUAUGCGGAAUGCGUGGUGUAGCGGUGAAAUGCAUAGAUAUAACUUAGAACUCCGAUAGCGAAGGCAGCUUACCAGACUGCGACUGACGCUGAAGCACGAGAGCGUGGGUAGCGAACAGGAUUAGAUACCCUUGUAGUC
rnacentral:rRNA from 1 species